CCUACGGGAGGCAGCAGUGGGGAAUAUUGCACAAUGGGGGAAACCCUGAUGCAGCGACGCCGCGUGAGUGAAGAAGUAUUUCGGUACGUAAAGCUCUAUCAGCAGGGAAGAAAAUGACGGUACCUGACUAAGAAGCCCCGGCUAACUACGUGCCAGCAGCCGCGGUAAUACGUAGGGGGCAAGCGUUAUCCGGAUUUACUGGGUGUAAAGGGAGCGUAGACGGCAGCGCAAGUCUGGAGUGAAAUCCCAUGGCUUAACCAUGGGACUGCUUUGGAAACUGUGCAGCUAGAGUGCAGGAGAGGUAAGCGGAAUUCCUAGUGUAGCGGUGAAAUGCGUAGAUAUUAGGAGGAACACCAGUGGCGAAGGCGGCUUACUGGACUGUAACUGACGUUGAGGCUCGAAAGCGUGGGGAGCAAACAGGAUUAGAUACCCCAGUAGUC
rnacentral:rRNA from 1 species